rnacentral:lncRNA from 1 species
CACAGUAAACGCAAUAAACUAAACAUGGUACUUGCAGGAACAAACCCAAAUGAAUUCUUAUAUUUUUUAACUGGUUUUCUUGUUGCAUUUAUUGCAUGCAUUAAUGCAGAAAAUCCCGGUUCCCAGGAACACAGAGUAAUUAAGCUACCUGGGCAACCAUCAAAUCCACCAGUAUCUCAGUUUUCAGGGCACAUCACUGUAAAUGAAGCUCAUGGGAGGGCCCUUUUCUACUGGUUUUUUGAAGCUCAGUUCGAGCCUACCAAAAAGCCUCUUCUAUUAUGGCUUAAUGGAGGUAAUUAAUUAUUUUCUUAGGCAAAUAUAAUUUAUUAUUAUUAAUUGGAUUAUUUAUCAGUAGUUUUUGAUUUGUGUGUGUGAUAUUUUUGAAGGGCCUGGUUGUUCAUCAAUUGGAUAUGGGGCAGCUGUGGAGUUGGGUCCUCUUGUAGUUAGCAAGAAGGGAACUGGUCUUGACUUCAAUAACCACUCAUGGAUUAAAGGUCUCGUGCAGGACUCGAAAGUUUUCAUAUUAUGAACGUUAUAGUAGUUUCUUUUUCUUAUUUAAUACUGUCGAGUAAUUUAUUCUAAUUUUUUAGACAUUUAGUUAACGGCAAAAUGAGAAGAAAUAAGUAAAAGGGAAAGAAAAAGAUUAAGCGUAGAGAAAGAAAAGAAACUGAUCAAUUAGAGGUCUUAACUGACUGUAAUUAGACUGGUAUUCAAGGAUUAAAUAUCUGGCAGAAGCCAACUUGCUUUUUGUAAAAUCUCCUAUUAUAGUAGUUUCUUUUUCUUAUUUAAUACUGUCGAGGAGUAAUUUGUUCUAAUUUUCUAGACUUUUAGGUAACAGUAAAAUGAGUAGAAAUAAGUAAAAGAGAAAGAAAAGGAUUAUAAGCAGAGCAAGAAACGAAACUGAAUAUUGAGGUCUUAACUGAUUGUAAUUAGACUGGUAUUCAAGGAUUUAUUUUUCUUGCAGAAGCCAAUUUGCUUUUUCUGGAAUCUCCUAUUGGAGUUGGGUUCUCAUAUUCCAAUACAUACGUUAGAUGAUAGGUUGAAUGAAAGGUGAAAUUAAAUAAUUUAACUCUAGUGGCGUUAGAUGAUAGGUUGAAUGAAAGGUGAAAUUAAAUGAUUUAUUUAAUUUUAUCUAUUAUUUAAUAACACAUUAAUGUCACAUAAAUUGGGGCUGUAAUUUCAGUUGGGUUAAAAACAUUACUUUUAUAAAUUAGCAUAUCCAACUAUUUUCUCACUAUCACUUUGCUUAAAAUUAUGUGACAUUUUAAUGUAAAAUGACGUGUAAUUGAGCAACAGCAAAUUGAACAACAGUCCAAAUUCCACUUGCACUGCCAAUCUUUCCUUUGAACGUAACCCAUUGACAGCUUGGAUUCUUGUAUGUAUGCCUAAAUAUCGGUCAAACUCUCCAUCAUCUCUCUCACUCUAUACUUCUCUCCACAGUAAACGCAAUAAACUAAACAUGGUACUUGCAGGAACAAACCCAAAUGAAUUCUUAUAUUUUUUAACUGGUUUUCUUGUUGCAUUUAUUGCAUGCAUUAAUGCAGAAAAUCCCGGUUCCCAGGAACACAGAGUAAUUAAGCUACCUGGGCAACCAUCAAAUCCACCAGUAUCUCAGUUUUCAGGGCACAUCACUGUAAAUGAAGCUCAUGGGAGGGCCCUUUUCUACUGGUUUUUUGAAGCUCAGUUCGAGCCUACCAAAAAGCCUCUUCUAUUAUGGCUUAAUGGAG